rnacentral:rRNA from 1 species
GACGAACGCUGGCGGCGUGCUUAACACAUGCAAGUCGAACGAUGAAGCCGGAGCUUGCUCUGGUGAAUUAGUGGCGAACGGGUGAGUAACACGUGAGUAACCUGCCCUUGACUCUGGGAUAACUGCGGGAAACUGUAGCUAAUACCGGAUACGACCCUCGGAGGCAUCUCCUGGGGGGUGGAAAGAAUUUCGGUCAAGGAUGGACUCGCGGCCUAUCAGCUAGUUGGUGAGGGAAAGGCUCACCAAGGCGACGACGGGUAGCCGGCCUGAGAGGGUGACCGGCCACACUGGGACUGAGACACGGCCCAGACUCCUACGGGAGGCAGCAGUGGGGAAUAUUGAACAAUGGGCGCAAGCCUGAUGCAGCAACGCCGCGUGAGGGAUGACGGCCUUCGGGUUGUAAACCUCUUUUAGCAGGGAAGAAGCGAAAGUGACGGUACCUGCAGAAAAAGCACCGGCUAACUACGUGCCAGCAGCCGCCGUAA